rnacentral:rRNA from 1 species
UACGUAGGGUGCAAGCGUUAAUCGGAAUUACUGGGCGUAAAGCGUGCGCAGGCGGUUUCGUAAGACAGAUGUGAAAGCCCCGGGCUUAACCUGGGAAGUGCAUUUGUGACUGCGAGACUAGAGUGUGUCAGAGGGAGGUGGAAUUCCACGUGUAGCAGUGAAAUGCGUAGAGAUGUGGAGGAACACCGAUGGCGAAGGCAGCCUCCUGGGAUAACACUGACGCUCAUGCACGAAAGCGUGGGGAGCAAACAGGAUUAGAUACCCUGGUAGUCCACGCCCUAAACGAUGUCUACUAGUUGUCGGGGAUUCGUUUCCUUGGUAACGCAGCUAACGCGUGAAGUAGACCGCCUGGGGAGUACGGCCGCAAGGUUA